ACUUCCAGGAUGGGAAAGGGAACUGUGAUAUUGUGAUUUAUUUAUUUUUUUAAAUUUAUUCACUUUGAGAGAGAGAGGGAGGGAGAACAAGCAGGGGAGGGGCAGAGAGAGAAGGAGAGAGAAUCCCAACUGGGGGCUCUUAUCUCGCCAGCUGUGAGAUCAUGACCUGAAUGGAAAUCAAGAUUGGCCGCACAACCUAUUAGGCCACUCAGGUGUCCCUGUGAUACUAUGAUUUAUAACAACAAAUAAGUACUUGGUCUUCAUCCCAGUUUCUGGCACAGAGCUCCUAAAACCCUUGGAAUUUCCGAAGUGGUGAGAGCGGCAAAAAGUGUCUUUUGUUAUGUUAAUGAGGUGACUUUGGGACCCCCCCCCCCCAUGGGGACUGGUUGCCUGGAGAACAAACCACGUGAUUAGAGGGUUGGAAAUUUCAGGCUCACCCCCUGCAUUGAGGGGAGGGGAGAGGGGCUGGAGGUUGAACUGAUCUCACCAGUGGUGGGCGAUUUAAUCAUACGUGCCUGUGCAGUAAAGCUCCAUAAACACCCAAAAGCAUGGGGUUCCGAGAGCUUCCGGGUUGGUGAGCACGUGGAGACUUGGAGAGAGUGGCGCUCCUGGAGAGGGCCCGGAAGCCUCACGCGUAGUCCCUGUACCCUGCCAGAUGCAUAUCUUCCAUCUGGCUGUUUCUGAGUUACAGCCUUUAUAAUAAACCGGUAAUUUAGUAAGUAAAGUGUUUCUCUAGGUUCUGGGAGCCGCUCUAGCAAAUUAAUAAAACCCGUGGGAGGAGGUCACUGGAACUUACCAUCCAUAGCCAGCCAGUCGGAAGCACAGUAACCUGGAUUUGCGAUUGGCAUCUGAAGGGGUGAGGUGGGGUGGGACAGAGGGGUGGCAGUCUUGUAGGGCUGAGCCCUUAACCUGUGGCGUCUGAUGGUCUCUCCAGGUAGACAGCAUCAGAAUAGAGUUGAAUUGUCAGGACACCCAGCUGGUGCCGGAGAAACACUUGGGGGGUGGGGAAAACACCCGCGCAUUGGAACUGGGGUGUAGAAUUGGAGGAACACACUUCUCUGAGUUCCCCUCUUUUUCAUAGUUUUGACAUUGGAUCGUGGAAAUGUUUUACAUAUCCAAAAAAAGUAAAGUUAAACCAGAAAAGAGAAAAAAGCAAACCUGAACUGGAAUACGAAUAGAAAAAAAACAAACCUAAUUAUAUAUCAAAUCAGUAACAUUCCCGCACACACUGAAGAAUCCUUGAUUCCGGUACCCAUUAACGGAGCAUUCUCCAAGGAUAAAAAGAACAGCUCUCAAACCCUGACCUUUGCUAAGGCUUGUUGUAGGAGUGGUUUGAUGGCGUAUUUCUGAAAUAAUUGUGUGUGUGCUGCAGGAUACAUGUACUUUCUUGCAGUUUUAAAGAAGGGUGUUAUUUCCUUGAGCUCUCUGGGACUGCUUCUAGCAAAGCAAACAUUUUAAUAAGCAGACACUUAGCAACUGACCUGUCAGCACUUGGGAUCCAGACGGGUUGUGAAACCAGACUCCACCCCCAUCUCUGAGCGGUGAUGAGUCACUGAGUGGACAGCGCCCCCUGCAGGACACUGUUGGCCACGAACGCGCCUUCCUUCAGCAGCCCUUGGAUGUUAAUUACAAUUUUUCCAACACCAAAACUUGGUGGGGCCCUCUUCCUUCGCCUAGGUGUCACUGGAGGAGAUCGACUGCAUUCAUAGAGUCUGUCUUUCCCAUGAUUCAGUUAUGGACCAGUGGAAAGGGCGGAGUUUACGAAGUCGGACGGAACGAAGUUAAUACAACACAAACGGAGGUCUUAACCGUGGAGAUAAUGAAAAGAUCUCAGCUCGCAGGCAGGGAGGGGGGACUGAGCGACCCCCCUGGGAUGACUGACAGCCUCCAGCCACCUCCCACGGACUCCCCAUCUCCAUUUCCUUGUGCCUGAAGCCCACAGCGAUGCCCUUAAGCAGGUGGACAGCUGCGGCUCAGGGGCUGGCGUGGGGUAGGUGCACAGUUCACCGCCAGGUGGCCGAACGCUCUAGUUCAGAGCCUUACCUUGUUAGUUCAGCAGCAACUGUGCACCAACCUACUCAACACCCGCAAUGAAUGACAUUUGAAGCUCAGAACUGUGCCAGACUGAGGGGCGUGCAUGUGAAAUGCAUCUGCGUGGCUCUCUCCUUUAUUUACUGCUUACUACUUGCCAGUCACUGUGCUAAGCACUUGGCAAGUAUAAUGUGGAGAGUUUUGAAUUGUGUCACUGUGAUUUUUUUUUCCCCUCCUGUCAUCCCUUGGCUGUGACCUCCCUGCCAAAGCCAUCGUUUGCCUUGGUCUUGCUGUGGGAAUGUAAAGCUUUUACUCCAGUUCAGAUCUGAGAGCCAGCAGGUUUGGAAACAAGAAGGAUUUUGUGAACUUUUUUAGUUCCCAGGCCUGGCAGAUAAGCUCAGAUGUCUUCAAACUAAGGGUACACAAACUUCUGGGGUGCACAGUCUUUCCAGGUGCAGGGGCUGGGAAAACCAGAAAACAGGUUUUACUAAUUUAUUGACUGAUACACAGAAUCUGAAAAAGAAUCUUGUAAAAAAACAACUGAUUAAGUUUUAUUUUAUUUUUUAAAAUUUACUUAUUUUGAGAGCAAGAAAGUGAGCAGGGGAGGGGCAGAGAGAGAAGGAGAGAGAGAAUCCCAAGCAGGCUCUGCGCUGCCAGUGUGGGGCCUGAUGCGGGGCUUGAUCCCACCAACUGUGAGAUCAUGACCUGAGCUGAAAUUAAGGGUCGGAAGCUCAACUGACUGAGCCACCCAGGUGCCCCUCCUUUUUUUUUUUUCAAGUGAGGUAUAAUUUUUUUUAACUGAGGUAUAAUUGACAUAUAACAUUAUAUUAGUUUCAGGUGUACAACAUCAUGAUUUGGUAUUUGUAUAUAUUAUGAAAUGAUCAUCACAAUAAAUCUAAUUAACAGCCACUAGCAUACAUAGUUGCAAACAUAUUUUUCUUGUGAUGAAAACUUUUAAGAUCUACUGUCUUCACCUC